rnacentral:tRNA from 1 species
CGUGGCCAAGUGGUAAGGCAACGGGUUUUGGUCCCGCUAUUCGGAGGUUCGAAUCCUUACGUGGUUGA